GACGGAGGGGGCAAGCGUUGUCCGGAAUCACUGGGCGUAAAGCGCACGUAGGCGGGACGGUGCGUCGGUGCUGAAAGCGCCAGGCUUAACCUGGCGAGGCGUGCCGAUACGACCGACCUCGAGGCAGACAGAGGGUGGCGGAAUUCCGGGUGUAGUGGUGAAAUGCGUAGAGAUCCGGAGGAACGCCGGUGGCGAAAGCGGCCACCUGGGUCUGACCUGGCGCUGAGGUGCGAAAGCGUGGGGAGCAAACCGG
rnacentral:rRNA from 1 species